AUAUAUGUCAAUUCAACCUUAAUUUAAUUCUAGUUAAAAUCCUAUUGAAUUUCACUCAACUUUAGACCAAAUCUAAUUAAAUCUUAAACCCUAAUAAUUCCUAAACCCUAAGUCAAAUCCUAAAAAAAUCUUAAAUUAAACCCUAUUCCAAAUCCUAAACCCUAAACCAAAUCUUAAAUCAAAUCUUAACCAAACCCUAAUCCAAACCCUAAAUCAAACCCUAAAUCCUAAUCCAAAUCCUAAUCCAAAUCCUAAUCCAAAUCCUAAUCCAACUCUAAACUCUAAUCCAAAUCCUAAACCCUAAACCAAACCUUAAAUCAAACCCUAACCAAAUCCUAGUCCAAACUCUAAUCCAAACCCUAAAUCAAAUCCUAACCAAACCCUAAAUCCUAAUCCAAAUCCUAAUCCAAAUCCUAAUCCAAUCCUAAACUCUAAUCUAAAUCUUAAACCCUAAACCAAAUUUUAAAUCAAACCCUAAAUCAAACCUUAACCAAAUC
rnacentral:lncRNA from 1 species